GAUGAACGCUGGCGGCGUGCUUAACACAUGCAAGUCGAACGGUGAAGCAGGAGCUUGCUCUUGUGGAUCAGUGGCGAACGGGUGAGUAACACGUGAGCAACAUGCCCCUGACUCUGGGAUAAGCGCUGGAAACGGCGUCUAAUACUGGCGAUGUGAGGUGACCGCCUGGUCUGCAUCUGGAAAGUCGUUCGGUUGGGGAUGGGCUCGCGGCCUAUCAGCUGGUUGGUGAGGUAGGGGCCCACCAAGGCGUCGACGGGUAGCCGGCCUGAAAGGGUGACCGGCCACACCGGGACUGAGACACGGCCCAGACUCCUACGGGAGGCAGCAGUGGGGAAUAUUGCACAAUGGGCGGAAGCCUGAUGCAGCAACGCCGCGUGAGGGAUGACGGCCUUCGGGUUGUAAACCUCUUUUAGCAGGGAAGAGGCGAAAGUGACGGUACCUGCAGAAAAAGCACCGGCUAACUACGUGCCAGCCGCCGCCGUAA
rnacentral:rRNA from 1 species